UGCCGCUAGACCUCGGCACGGUGCCCACCAUGUCCAUGAAGAUCCAGACAAGCAACGUAACCAACAAGAAUGACCCCAAGUCCAUCAACUCUCGGGUCUUCAUCGGAAACCUCAGCACAGCUGUGGUGAAGAAGUCAGAUGUGGAGACCACCUUCUCCAAGGAUGGCCGUGUGGCCGGCUGUUCUGUGCACAAGGGCUAUGCCUUUGUCCAAUAUGCCAGCGAGCGCCAUGCCCGAGCAGCUGUGCUUGGAGAGAAUGGGCAGGUGCUGGCAGGGCAGACCCUGGACAUCAACAUGGCUGGUGAGCCCAAGCCCAACACACCCAAGGGGUUAAAGAGAGCAGCAUCUGCCAUUUACAGUGGCCACAGCUUUGACUAUGAUUACUACCGGGACGACUUCUACCACAGGCUCUUUGACUAUCGGGGCCACCUUUCACCGGUGCCUGUGCCCAGGGCUGUCCCUGUGAAGUGACCCCGGGUCACAGUCCCUUUGGUCCGACGUGUCAAAACCACCACUCCAGUCAAGCUGUUUGCCCGCUCCACAGCCAUCACCACCAGCUCAGUCAAAAUUAAGUUAAAGAGCAGUGAGCUGCAGGCCAUCAAGACAGAGCUGACACAGAUCAAGUCCAACAUUGACGCCCUGCUGGGCCGCUUGGAACAGAUUGCUGAGGAGCAGAAGGCCAACCCAGAUGGCAAGAAGAAAGGCGACAGCGGCAGCAGCAAUAGUGGUGACAGCAGCCGGCCACUGGCCCCCCAAGAGGACACAACUUCUGAGGCAGGCACACCCCAGGGAGAAGCACAGGUUCGAGAUGACGGCGAUGAAGAGGGGCUGCUGACACACAGUGAGGAAGAGCUGGAGCACAGCCAGGACACAGAUGCAGAGGAAGGGGCCUUGCAGUAAGCAGUCUG